rnacentral:tRNA from 1 species
AGGGAUGCAGCUCAGUGGUAGAGUGCUUGCUUAGCAUGCAUGAGGCUUUGGGUUUCAAUUCCCAGCGCCACCA